rnacentral:rRNA from 1 species
CAGUCGAACGGAGAUACGCGCUGAAUGACGAAGCUUGCUUUUGAAUUCUUGCCGUUCUUAGUGGCGGACGGGUGAGUAACGCGUGAGCAACCUGCCUUUCAGAGGGGGAUAACGUUUGGAAACGAACGCUAAUACCGCAUGAGACUACGGUACUACAUGGUACAGUGGCCAAAGGAGCAAUCCGCUGAAAGAUGGGCUCGCGUCCGAUUAGAUAGUUGGCGGGGUAACGGCCCACCAAGUCGACGAUCGGUAGCCGGAUUGAGAGGUUGAACGGCCACAUUGGGACUGAGACACGGCCCAGACUCCUACGGGAGGCAGCAGUGAGGGAUAUUGGUCAAUGGGGGAAACCCUGAACCAGCAACGCCGCGUGAGGGAAGACGGUUUUCGGAUUGUAAACCUCUGUCCUCUGUGAAGAUAAUGACGGUAGCAGAGGAGGAAGCUCCGGCUAACUACGUGCCAGCAGCCGCGGUAAUACGUAGGGAGCAAGCGUUGUCCGGAUUUACUGGGUGUAAAGGGUGCGUAGGCGGCCCUGCAAGUCAGAAGUGAAAUCCAUGGGCUUAACCCGUGAACUGCUUUUGAAACUGUAGGGCUUGAGUGAAGUAGAGGCAGGCGGAAUUCCCGGUGUAGCGGUGAAAUGCGUAGAGAUCGGGAGGAACACCAGUGGCGAAGGCGGCCUGCUGGGCUUUAACUGUGACGCUGAACACGAAAGCGUGGGUGGAAACAGGAUUAGAUACCCUGGUAGUCCACGCCGUAAACGAUGAUUACUAGGUGUGGGGGGUCUGACCCCCUCCGUGCCGGAGUUAACACAAUA